AUAUAUCGCAUAUACAGAAAGUGGUAUAAUUAACUGAUAAAUUCCCAUUUAUCCAGUCAAUUUUCAAUGUGAAGAUUUUUUUUUUAAUCCUUAUCACAAAAGUACUUUCAAAUUAAAGUUAAUUUACGAGUUGUAUAAAAGGCUCCCCUGGUUUCGAAUGAAAUCAGUUAAAAAUUCAAUACCAUGAAGUUGUACGCACUUUUAGCUUUUGCAGCAGCCAUGCUCAUGUUGUUGGCCAGUCCCUUAACAGUGGCAGCUGAACCUCACAAGUCUACUCCGAAGCCGAAAUAAGUUGUUGAAUUCCGUUUUCUAAUGAUGUCAGUGACAACACGAAAUAAAUGAAUGACUCAUA